rnacentral:rRNA from 1 species
CAGAGUUACUGCUAUCGAGMUYSGWCGYWAGCCAUGCGAGUUGAAUGUUCUUCGUGAACAUGGCGGACUGCUCAGUAACACGUGGACAACCUACCCUUGGGUCCGGCAUAAUCCUGGGAAACUGGGAAUAAUUCCGGAUAGGUCACCGAUGCUGGAAUGCGCGGUGGCCGAAAGCUCCGGCGCCCGAGGAUGGGUCUGCGGCCUAUCAGGGUUGUAGUGGGUGUAACGUACCUACUAGCCUACGACGGGUACGGGUUGUGAGAGCAAGAGCCCGGAGAUGGAUUCUGAGACACGAAUCCAGGCCCUACGGGGUGCAGCAGGCGCGAAAACUUUACAAUGCGGGAAACCGUGAUAAGGGGAUCUCGAGUGCCAGCAUAUAAUGUUGGCUGUCCAGAUGCCUAAAAAGCAUCUGUUAGCAAGGGCCGGGCAAGACCGGUGCCAGCCGCCGCGGUAACACCGGCGGCCCGAGUGGUAACCGCUAUUAUUGGGUCUAAAGGGUCUGUAGCCGGCCAGGUAAGUCCCUUGGGAAAUCUGGCAGCUCAACUGUCAGGCUGCUAGGGGAUACUGUUUGGCUUGGGACCGGGAGAGGUGAGAGGUACCUUGGGGGUAGGGGUGAAAUCUUGUGAUCCUCGAGGGACCACCAGUGGCGAAGGCGUCUCACCAGAACGGGUCCGACGGUAAGGGACGAAAGCUAGGGGCACGAACCGGAUUAGAUACCCGGGUAGUCCUAGCCGUAAACGAUGCUCGCUAGGUGUCAGUCACGGUGCGACCGUGAUUGGUGCCGUAGGGAAGCCGUGAAGCGAGCCACCUGGGAAGUAUGGCCGCAAGGCUGAAACUUAAAGGAAUUGGCGGGGGAGCACUMCRRCRSSUGGAGCCUGCGGUUAAUG